rnacentral:tRNA from 1 species
GCCCCCGUAGCCCAAUUGGCAGAGGCAGGCGACUUAAAAUCGCCGCAGUGUGGGUUCGAACCCCACCGGGGGUACGA